GUGGCUACUUCGGCAGCACAUAGACUGAAAUUGGAAUGAUACAGAGAAGAUUAGCAUGCCCCCUGCAAAAGGAUGACACAGAAAUUAAUGAAGCAUUCCAUAUUUUG